CUACGGGUUGCUCCAGUGGGGAAUAUUGGACAAUGGGGGAAACCCUGAUCCAGCAAUGCCGCGUGUGUGAAGAAGGCCUGCGGGUUGUAAAGCACUUUCGGUUGGGAGGACUGCUUCUAGCACUAAUAUUGUUGGAAGUUGACGUUACCUUCAGAAGAAGCACCGGCUAACUCCGUGCCAGCAGCCGCGGUAAUACGGAGGGUGCAAGCGUAAUCGGAAUUACUGGGCGUAAAGCGCGCGUAGACGGCUAGAUCAGUCGGGUGUGAAAGCCCCGGGCUUAACCUGGGAACUGCAUCCGAUACUGUCUAGCUUGAGUACAGGAGAGGAGAGUGGAAUUCCACAUGUAGCGGUGAAAUGCGUAGAUACGUGGAGGAACACCAAUGGCGAAGGCAGCUCUCUGGCCUGAUACUGACGCUGAGGUGCGAAAGCGUGGGGAGCAAACAGGAUUAGAUACCCCGGUAGUC
rnacentral:rRNA from 1 species